rnacentral:rRNA from 1 species
UUUAUAAAGAGUUUGAUCCUGGCUCAGGACGAACGCUGGCGGCGCGCCUAACACAUGCAAGUCGAACGAGCGAGAGAGAGCUUGCUUUCUUGAGCGAGUGGCGAACGGGUGAGUAACGCGUGAGGAACCUGCCUCAAAGAGGGGGACAACAGUUGGAAACGACUGCUAAUACCGCAUAAGCCCACG